CGUGGGGCAGCAUGACUGUAGCAAUACAGUUGAUGGCGACCGGCAAACGGGUGCGGAACACGUACACAACCUUCCUUUAAGUGGGGAAUAGCCCAGGGAAACUUGGAUUAAUACCCCGUAAUAUAUAGAAGCGGCAUCGCUUUUAUAUUAUAGCAGCAAUGCGCUUGAAGAUGGGUGUGCGGCUGAUUAGAUAGUUGGCGGGGUAACGGCCCACCAAGUCGACGAUCAGUAACUGGUGUGAGAGCACGACCAGUCACACGGGCACUGAGACACGGGCCCGACUCCUACGGGAGGCAGCAGUAAGGAAUAUUGGUCAAUGGACGCAAGUCUGAACCAGCCAUGCCGCGUGGAGGAUGAAGGUCCUCUGGAUUGUAAACUUCUUUUAUUUGGGAAGAAAUCUAUCUUUUCUUGGAUAGUUGACGGUACCAGAUGAAUAAGCACCGGCUAACUCCGUGCCAGCAGCCGCGGUAAUACGGAGGGUGCAAGCGUUAUCCGGAUUCACUGGGUUUAAAGGGUGCGUAGGUGGGCAAGUAAGUCAGUGGUGAAAUCUCCGGGCUUAACCCGGAAACUGCCAUUGAUACUAUUUGUCUUGAAUACUGUGGAGGUCAGCGGAAUAUGUCAUGUAGCGGUGAAAUGCUUAGAUAUGACAUAGAACACCAAUUGCGAAGGCAGCUGGCUACACAAAUAUUGACACUGAGGCACGAAAGCGUGGGGAUCAAACAGGAUUAGAUACCCUGGUAGUCCACGCCCUAAACUAUGGAUACUCGACAUUUGCGAUAAACUGCAAGUGUCUGAGCGAAGCAUUAAGUAUCCCCCUGGGAAGUACGAUCGCAAGAUGAACU
rnacentral:rRNA from 1 species